UCACGAUUUUAGAAUAAAAGCGAACGAUCAAAUUAAUCAGAUUAGUUUGAUAGAUAAUAUCAGAAAUAUGGUGGGAAUUAAGUCAUAUUUUACCACUUU